GGGAAACAGCCCGGCAGCUAGCAUUGUUAUUCAGCAGGAACAAACCAGUGAUGCUGGCAGCACUUUUACAGGCACAGCGGGGAGGCUUGCCGGGAGACAAUUUCUCCCUACUAUGCACCACUGAGCGACAAUAUAACCUCAUCUGGACACACUCACCAGACUUUACUGAAAGAAGCAGUGAUGAGUGAGGACUCUCUAAAUUGAGGUUAAAGCUUUCAAACUAUGAGUGACCUGACCUGGAGAACCCAUUCUCCUCCUUAAACCACCCCCCUGCCUCCCCAAAAGAGAAUGAGAUACCUUGAGACUUAGAACUAAAUUCCAACUGGAUUCCAACCUUGGCUCUGCCAGAUACUAACUACGUGAUUCAGGUAAGUCAUUUAACCU
ensembl:lncRNA